GCGCACCCAAGAAACAACUUUAUAUAUGGUGAGAUUAUGUCAAUAGUUAUAAUAAAGCUUCUGUUAAAUUAUUUCGUUGUUUCUUGGCUGCGCACGAUGUUUCCACAUCGAAAAUAAAGAUAGAAAACUGCAUAAAUUCUGUAUCUUUCAUCGUUUUUGUGAAAACAGUACAUAUUAUGACGUGAUUGUGACGUCAUUGGAUAA
rnacentral:lncRNA from 1 species